UCGGGGUAUUAGUUCUGUUACUUUUGUAGAUGUAGACCCUCGAUUAUUUAGUCGUGAUUUGUUACUUUUGAUAGAAUUGUUUCUAUUAGUAGUCGCAUAAACUGUUUCUAAUUGUGCAGGGACAAAGAUCAUGGUCACAAAAUUAUUAUUCUGCAAGCACAGAGAUUAAUAGGCUAUGGUCUUAUCUGCAUAUAUGGUAGUUAUGAAGCCUGGCAUUGUUCUUUUAUGAAGAAGAGAAUCAGUCGACUGUUGAAAUAACGAUGUCCAUGUGAUUUUAUGAGAUAUGAUCAAGAGAAUCAGCGGACUGUUGAAAUAACACUUUCACUUGUGAUUUGUGAGGUAGGUUAGGUUAGUACUCUCAGUUGGAGAAGAAUCAUUUUGGGUAAAGUAUGUUAUGCAGUUUUCCUACUUUAGGAAAUAAUAUCGAGAUCUCCUGAAAUGUUUUAGGGGACAGCUUAAAUUGGACUCUCGCAUAGCGCCUUGGGCAUAUUGUGCACGGGUGACUGGUUCUCUUAGUGUUUUAUUUUUUUAUUUUAUUAAGUAGAUUCAUUGUUGGCAUCAAGAAGAAGAUACCAAGUGUACAAAAGAGAUGCUGUCAAAUUCAUUGCAAUUGUCUAUGCUACAAAAAGGUUAUACCAAAACUAUUUAGAAUGUUAGCCCAAGCCCGAAGGAAGCAAAAAACUAUUUUAUGAGCAACUUCCUCUUAGGUUUGUAUAUGUGCUUUAGUAUCCUUUAAUAACUGAACCCAUUGUCUUGGAUUUGAUCAUUAGAUAUUCAAGCAGUUCUCAUUGUAUAUUAAUAUUCCUAUCAGUUACACUCCAAAUCGUUCUCCCCCUUUAUGAAUGUGUACUACGGCAAUGCAUUGCCAGGGGUCAAGAUACCAAGACUCGCUUCAAUAUGGUGGCGCAUAACAGAGUUGAAUAAUUCCAUGUUGCCAUCAUUUUUCUUGAAAUUUAAAGAAUGGGAAGGUAACUCCUGAGGAUUUCCUGUUGAUACAUACAACUUCUAGAGGGACGUAUUUGUUAUGUUACUUGUGUAGAUCAUGUGAAUAUUUAGUUACUUUGAUGGGAUUAUUCUAUUAGUAACCGCAUUAACUGUUUCUAAAUUGUGCAGGGACAAAGAUCAUGGUUACAAAUACUGUCAGUUGUGCAGGACAAAUAUUUCUAUUGUGCGACUGGUACUCCUGUAUUCUCACAUUUGUCAAAGGUCAAGCUUCCUCUUAGGGCCGAUGAUAUGUCCUUGGGACUCUCUUAACCAGAUACGGAGAUGCUAUGUCUAUGCUAUACUCAGUAGCUGCAAGAUUAGAGCCGGCAUUGCACCUGUGUCUGAUGCCAUCUUUACAAAGUAUAGUGAUUUUACAGCCAACUCUACGCCUAUUCAAGUGCAAAUCCACGAGAGCUUAAUCCCUUCCUCAAGAGUCUGCCGUUCUUGAGAUAUCAAGGAAGCAUUGAUAACAACACGAUCAUUGUGUGGGCAGCCGCUAAGGAGAUAAAACAUUGUUUACAAGAAAGCCAACUUGUGUGUACUGCACAUUAGUCUUAUAUUUGCAAUUCUUAUCAGUAAGUUAUUUAUAUUUGCAUGUCUUAAUUUUAUAAUUUAUCCAUGAUCCAAGCUCAAAGCAGUGAUUUUGGUUAAACCAGCCUAACCAGAUUUGUCUCUGAA